GAGGAUCCGAGCGUUAUCCGGAUUUAUUGGGUUUAAAGGGAGCGUAGGCGGACGCUUAAGUCAGUUGUGAAAGUUUGCGGCUCAACCGUAAAAUUGCAGUUGAUACUGGGUGUCUUGAGUACAGUAGAGGCAGGCGGAAUUCGUGGUGUAGCGGUGAAAUGCUUAGAUAUCACGAAGAACUCCGAUUGCGAAGGCAGCUUGCUGGACUGUAACUGACGCUGAUGCUCGAAAGUUUGGGUAUCAAA
rnacentral:rRNA from 1 species